rnacentral:rRNA from 1 species
UGGGGAAUUUUGGACAAUGGGCGCAAGCCUGAUCCAGGCAAUGCCGCGUGCAGGAAGAAGGCCUUCGGGUUGUAAACUGCUUUUGUACGGAACGAAAAGGCUCUGGUUAAUACCUGGGGCUCAUGACGGUACCGUAAGAAUAAGCACCGGCUAACUACGUGCC